GGAGGGUGCAAGCGUUGUUCGGAAUUAUUGGGCGUAAAGAGCGUGUAGGCGGUCCGGUAAGUCAGAUGUGAAAGCCCUGGGCUCAACCCAGGAAGUGCAUUUGAAACUACCAGACUUGAGUACAGGAGAGGAGGGGGGAAUUCCCGGUGUAGAGGUGAAAUUCGUAGAUAUCGGGAGGAAUACCAGUGGCGAAGGCGCCCCUCUGGACCGAUACUGACGCUGAGACGCGAAAGCGUGGGAAGCAAACAGGAUUAGAUACCCUGGUAGUUCACGCCGUAAACGAUGAGCACUAGGUGUAGCGGGUAUUGACCCCCCUGCUGUGCCGUAGCUAACGCAUUAAGUGCUCCGCCUGGGGACUACGGUCGCAAGACUA
rnacentral:rRNA from 1 species